rnacentral:rRNA from 1 species
AUGUUUCCCCAUUCAUAUCUCGUAUCCUUAGGGACUUCGAAGCUGCGUGGAUGCUUAUAUGUCAAUCUUCUUCCCCCACAUCAAGAUCAACCUUUGGAACAAGAGAUCAAACAAGCAAGUUCCGGCAUACCCUAUCCAACCUCCAUGGUGAGGCCCUCGUUCCUUCGCUGGGUGAUGGCAAGGUUCAACCAGGGUUGGUGGCAAAAUAGCUAUGACGAAGUCUUGUUUGCAAAAAGAGAGGAUGUGGUUGUAAUUUCUGUUUCUUUUAGUGUCCUUAUAGUUUUGUAUCACUUUUAUUUAAUGUAA